UACAGAGGGUGCUAGCGUUAAUCGGAAUUACUGGGCGUAAAGCGUGUGUAGGUGUUAGAUAAGUUAGAUGUGAAAUCCCCGGGCUUAACCUGGGCAUUGCGUUUAAGACUGUUUAGCUUGAGUACUGUAGAGGAUAGUGGAAUUUCCAGUGUAGCGGUGAAAUGCGUAGAUAUUGGAAGGAACACCAGUGGCGAAGGCGACUAUCUGGACAGAUACUGACACUGAGACACGAAAGCAUGGGGAGCAAACAGG
rnacentral:rRNA from 1 species